rnacentral:rRNA from 1 species
AUUUAUGGCCAUAUCACUCUGAAUGCUCCCCAGCUUGUCUGAUCUUAGAAGGUAAGUAGGGUUGGGCAUGGUUAGUACUGGGAUGGGAGAGGAUUAAACAGAAUGGGUUCUUAUUU